AGCCUCGAGUGUGGCCGGACGGGCUCGAAGGAGCCGCCGCAGGUGAACAAUGAGAGCUGUGAGGGGCUGAACACGGCUGAGCGGUGUCCUGGCCAGAGUGUACCCAGCAGCCUGGCUCCCCGUGCUAACAAGCAGCCGCAGUGGGAUCAGGUGUGUCUGAUUCCUAAAUUAGUCCCAGCAGGUUGUUACAGUAAUGAAAGACUUUGGGUUCAUUACAGGAGAUUCAUGUGCUAAUUAGCAGCCCAGUUAAUAGGGCAGACUGGGAGCUGUGCUUGCUGCUCCCCGGAUUUCCAAAGCCUCAGGAGAAGGAAUGCAGGGAUGCAGUGUGAGCAUCAGAGGCAGGAACAAAAUAGAAUCCCCAGGAAGUUGAGGGGAAAUUCCUUCUUUCCAGGAACAAAUGUGUGUGUGAAAAUUGUGGAUGUAAUCUGGGGAGCUGUGGAAUUCAUGCAAGUUUUGUUAGAAUUCCUAGGAUUUGUUAGUAUGGCUGAGCAGGUCCCAUCUUGUUUGUGUUACCAGAUGCCAAUGGAGCUUCCCAAAUGGAAUCCCAAAGUGGUUUGGGUGGGAAGGGACCUUAAAUCCCAUUUAAGGAUUAAGCUCCCACUGUCCCAGGCUGCU
rnacentral:lncRNA from 1 species